ensembl:lncRNA
AUGUGGAAUACCUUUGCUUUCACUAUGCAGACCUUCGUUGCCAAUGUGAUGUCUCUGCUCUUUACUACUUUAUCAAGGUUGGCCAUGGCUCUCUUCCCAAGAAGUAAACAUCUUCUGAUUUCCUGGCUGCAGUCUGCAUCUGCAAUGAUCUUCGUGCCUAGAAAUAUAAAGUCUGUCACUGCCUCCACGUUUUCUCCCUCUAUUUGCCAGUUAUCAAUCAGUCUGGUUGCUAUAAUCUUGGUUUUCUUGAUGUUUAACUUCAACCCAGCUUUUGCACUUUCUUCUUUCACCUUGGUGAUAAGGCUCCUCAGCUCCUCCUCACUUUCAGCCAUCAGAGUGGUAUCAUCUGCAUAUCUAAGGUUGUUAAAAUUUCUGGAAGAAACAUUAACAACCUUAGAUAUGCAGAUGAUACCACUCUGUUGGCUGAAAGUGAGGAGGAGAUGAGGAGGUGAAACAAGAAAGUGCAAAAGCUGGGUUGCAGUUAAACAUCGAGAAAACCAAGAUUAUGGCAACCAGACUGAUUGAUAACUGGAAAAUAGAGGGAGAAAACAUGGAGGCAGUGACAGAAUUUAUAUUUCUAGGUGCGAAGAUCACUGCAGAUGCAUACUGCAGCCAGAAAAUCAGAAGAUGUUUACUUCUUGGGAGGAGAGCAAUGGCUAACCCAAUAAAAUAGUGAAAAGCAGAGACAUCACACUGGCAAUGAAGGUCCACAUAGUCAAAGCAAUAGUAUUCCCUAUAGUAACCUACGGCUGUGAGAGCUGGACCAUAAGAAAGGCUGAGCGAAGGAAGAUAAACGCUUUUGAACUUUGGUGCUGGAGGAAAAUUCUGAGAGUGCCUUUGACCGCAAGAAGAUCCAACCAGUUUACCCUCCAGGAAAUAAUGCCGGCUGCUCACUGGAGGGAAGGAGAUUAGAGGCAAAGAUCAAGUAUUUUGGCCACAUCAUGAGAAGACAGGAAAGCUUGGAAAAGAUCAUGAUGCUGGGGAAAAUGGAAGGAAAAAGGAAGAGAGGCCGACCAAGGGCAAGAUGGAUGGAUGGUAUCCUUGAAGUGACUGGCUUGAACUUGAAGGAACUGGGAGCGGUGACGGCCGACAGGGAGUUCUGGCGUGGAUUGGUCCAUGAGGUCACGAAGAGUCGGAAACAACUGAGUGAAUGAAGAAGAAUAGAAAUACAGUUUUUGUUUCCACCCAGUGUCUGUCCAAAAUUCUGUCAUGGCAUCAUCUUUUCCUUUGUAUUCAGGAACCUGAUGAAUAUAAUCUGAUAGCAAUUGCAUUCUUGCUGAAUUUAAUUAACAUGCUAAUAGUCACUGCCACCAAUGAAUAUUCUUUUUAUUUAAAAGCCAAACUCUGCAGUUUAAAUAUGGUUGCUCAUGUCUUAACUAUCUUUUUCAGAUGAGAAAUCAUUUUUGUAUGUGUGUAUAUGUGCUGCUAGAGUCUAAAGAGGGAAAUGGUUCUAAGGAGGACAUGAUCAAUAGAGCUUCUGCCAGCAAGCUUGGGAACAAAAGAAAACAAAUUGUAUUAGAAAAAAGAGAUAAGCAAGUAUAUUAGGCAAAAAUCCCCGAAUUCAGAAAUAUACUAGGCUACCACUGAUCUUUUCACAGAACCAAUUGUGUAAUGCUAAAUUCUGAAUUGUAGAAACUAAUCAUGACUGUAUUCAGAGAACUUGAAAAUACAAGCAGUCGAUUGUAUCCAUUUUCAUUUCUACUAGGAACAAGUCUCUUGUAUAACUAGUGAGUUUUAACUGCCCAUUCCUCACUGCAAUACAUUUAUGGUGCAUUCAAAAAUCUUCAAAGAUUACCCCACACCAAUAUAAUUUGCAUUACUAGAGAAUUCACUUGCAACAAUCCAUUGUUGUCAAGAAAAAAAUGACUUCAUCUUAACAAUUCUUUAAGUAAUAUUAGCAAAAUAUGCUAAGGAAAAUUCUGGAGUCCUGAUUCAGCAUACCCUAGCUCUGUUAUGCCCAUAUUAAGCACAUUCUUAUUUGUCAAGAUAAUUUGUUGCGUAUUCAACUGGAUUUUGACAAAUCAACACCUUACUCUGCAUAAGACUAUCAGACCUGAACCAGACAAACAGAAGAAAAACAAUAGAAUUAUGAAAAAAAUAGACUCCAAGGCAGUGAAUUCCUUGAUUGGACAGCUCCUAACAUCAUAAAGUUCUUGAUAAUGUUUAGAUAAAAUCUCUUUUCUUGUAGUUUGAGUCUAUUGCUC